rnacentral:rRNA from 1 species
ACGGGAGGCAGCAGUGGGGAAUAUUGCACAAUGGGGGCAACCCUGAUGCAGCGACGCCGCGUGAAGGAAGAAGUAUCUCGGUAUGUAAACUUCUAUCAGCAGGGAAGAUAAUGACGGUACCUGACUAAGAAGCCCCGGCUAACUACGUGCCAGCAGCCGCGGUAAUACGUAGGGGGCAAGCGUUAUCCGGAUUUACUGGGUGUAAAGGGAGCGUAGACGGAAAGGCAAGUCAGAUGUGAAAGGCAGGGGCUCAACUCGUGGACUGCAUUGGAAACUGUUUUUCUUGAGUACCGGAGAGGUAAGCGGAAUUCCUAGUGUAGCGGUGAAAUGCGUAGAUAUUAGGAGGAACACCGGUGGCGAAGGCGGCUUACUGGACGGCAACUGACGUUGAGGCUCGAAAGCGUGGGGAGCAAACAGGAUUAGAUACCCUGGUA